CAGCCCGACCAAUCACAACUGUGAGAGAGGACCGCCCCCUCAUGCAGAACUAAUUCACUAGAAUAAAACGAGUAAAAGAAAGGAAAUUUUAGUAACAUUACUUUAGGAGGCAGAAGACAGAGUUAAAGCUAUCAGGAGAUGAAGUGGAGGUGGGCCAGACAGUAGAGCAGAAAGGUAAAGUUUCUGCCUGGGUCUCAGGAGGAUAUUUUUAUUUAACUGACAUUACUUUGUACCAUGUAAUCUGUUUUUACUUUAAAAAUAUAUGUAUUGUACCCAAAAGAGUGUAUGGUGUAUUUGUCACCCUUACAGCACUCUGUCCAUCACUUUAUCAUAUGAAGUCAAUAAGUGACAUAUACUGAACAUCCUGAAAGCAUCACUACUGUUGGAAAUUCCCUGGGAGCAGGUAAACUACAUAGACCAUAAUUCUUUGCAGCAGGAUAAGGCGGGGCUUAGAAGUUAAAAUGGCACUGUCGGCCAUUUUAUUAUUUCUUUGUUUGGCAUGGUCUGAGGAUUUGAACCUCUUUUGGAUUGUGGACUGAGCUUCCAAUGGAUGUGUGUUUGUAUAAAACCAUCCAUCCUGUGUAUCCAUCCUGUAGAUACAACCAUCCUGUAUAAUCUCUCCAUUCACCCUAUGUCUCCGUACAUCAUCUUCCUUCCUCAAUCCAUCCUUUCCUCAGCCAUGCAUUAACUGUCCAUUCAUACACCUGCUCUGCCUCAUCGUGAAAUAUGCUGUGACUCUGAGAAUAAACUGCAUCAGUUGAA